rnacentral:rRNA from 1 species
UACGUAGGGUGCAAGCGUUAAUCGGAAUUACUGGGCGUAAAGCGUGCGCAGGCGGUUUUGUAAGUCUGUCGUGAAAUCCCCGGGCUCAACCUGGGAAUUGCGAUGGAGACUGCAAGGCUAGAAUCUGGCAGAGGGGGGUAGAAUUCCACGUGUAGCAGUGAAAUGCGUAGAGAUGUGGAGGAACACCGAUGGCGAAGGCAGCCCCCUGGGUCAAGAUUGACGCUCAUGCACGAAAGGCGUGGGGAGCAAACAAGG